GACACAUUCGUGGUGUUUUAAGCCAUCUGACUUGCAGUACUCUGUCCCAGCCGCCCUAGCAAAUGAACACAGACGGCUACUUAAGAGUCCCUCUCCGGUUACCCAGCCCACCCUAGAGGCCACUUUUAGCCAGAGUGUUGGGGCCUUGACCCCACACUGCCUCGUCCCCUCUGUCCUCGCCCCGACCCUGACGCAUCAGAGCCGGGACACUGGUGACUUUCCUGGGGAAAUCUCUAGAUGUGACCUCUAUGGCCGGGGACAGGGGACUGGGUUUGAGUCUUGAGUCCUUUCCAGCAAGCGCCUUCCCGCUUGGAGCCUUGUUUCCUUCCUGGAUAAAUGGGCGGGGAAGCAUCACGGAGGUGUGCGGGUUUAAUCGGCACAUGCGCUGCUGCCUGCAGGCCAAGCUCAGGAUAAGCUCUUGCAGUAAAUAGCAACGUUUAUGUCCCUCGACUCCUGGCUCAGAGACGCGACCCAGAAUCUGGCAACCAUACCCGCCCCUUAGCUGGCCCCCCUCCACUGAUGACUAAUGGCCAGGUGUAAGACAGUCUUCCGAAGGGGCCGUAAGACCACCAUGGGCUCAAGAUAGACAUUGAGUCCUGCCCUCGCCCACCUCCUCCUCUCUCCACCUCCACAUCUUGGUUUCUUGUCCUCCGUGUGCAAAAUGUGCUUUCCUGCCCCACCUACGUCUCCACAUAUGAAGAAUCAAUAACAAUUUUAGAGAGA
rnacentral:lncRNA from 1 species